CUCUGGGUAAACAACUCCAGGUCCAGGACAUUUUUAGCUUUUAUAAUGGAGCACAGCAUUUUCAAACAUGCCAAAAGAGCUGGUGUGAAUAUCACACAAUGACAAUGACCAAUUUUAGAUUUCUGUUAUUUGGAAAUGUCAGCUCCGUUCUUAUAUAGUACUACAAUCCAAACAGGAAUACAAAGUAAACCAAGUCUACAAAGAAGCUCCUACUUGACUCAUGAAGAAUUCAGCUUAUCCCGGAAACUGGUUCCAGAUGUUAGCAUGAUGCUGACCAUACUUCUCUGGACAGACAACUCCACCAAUGUGUCCUGGAGCUCCGCUGCCCCAGAGCCCCACCCUACUAGGCUGGGAGUAUGGAUCAAUCAGUCAAGGCCCAUGUUCAGAGUGGAAGCAACUAAAGAAGCCAAAACUUCCACCUUCUGCAUCCCACAAUAACCCUGUGUCCAUACUCCCAGAGGGAUAAAGAAUAGGAAAACUAUCAGGGGAAGGGAUGGGAUAUGAAGAUCUGGUGGUGGGAAUUUUGUGAAGUUGUAACCCUCUCAUCCUAUGGUUUUGUCAAUGUUUCCUUUUUACAAAAAAAAAAAAAAAAGAAAAAAGAAAAAGAAAAAGAAUGCCUAUCUGCCACAAGAGGGCCACCCCGAGUCACUUUGUGCUACUUAAGAACUCAGAGCAAUAAAACAAUGCUUAAGCUGUCUGUCACCUACCCCUCCAGUCCUUGUCUUGUCACUCAUUAUUAAAUCAAUAAUAAUAAAAAUAUGUCAUUUAUCAAGUUUAAUUUGAAGGGCACAGGAGUUAGUCAUACAUCCACUCCCACAGAAAGCUGCUUACCUACCUUUACGGUCUAUCAGAAAUUCUAGAUUCAUUAUCACUAGGUGAUACUGUUUCAUUCUUGGUAAAUGUCUAUUAAAUUGUCUUUGACAGAGGAAACAAUUAUUGACCAGACUGGAGAUAAGGGUACAGCUAUGGAGAUCUAAAGUCAUAUUUCACUCUGGUCCUAGGAGCAAAAUGACCAGAGGACCACAGAAUCUGACAGACCUACACAACGGCCUCAUAGGCAUAAAACCUUGGUGGGUGGUUUACCUGUGAGCAUCUCAAAUAACUUGAAAGAAAAAGGUGAUGUUCGGGAGUUGGGCAGUGGCACAGUGGGUUAAGCGCAAGUGGCGCAAAGCGCAAGGACCAGCCCAAGGAUCCCGGUUCAAGUCCCCCGCUCCCCACCUGCAGGGAAGUCACUUCACAAGCAGUGAAGCAGGUCUGUAGGUGUCUAUCUUUCUCCCCACCUCUCCAUUUCUCUCUGUCCUAUCCAACAACCACGACAUCAAUAACCCCAACAAUGUUAAACAAGGGCAACAAAAGGGAAAAUAAAUAUUUAAAAA